GGUUGGAGUGCGGUGCAUCAUCAUCCGCAGCUGUUCGGGAUCAUCCUCAUCAACGGCACAGACUUAAGGAGUUGGCCGCCAGUCCAGCGUCGCCUGAGUGUUAGCCAGUCACGGUUAUCCUUUGACAAGACCCUGACGGAUUUCCUGGUUUUUGAACCGCCCUCGUGACUCCGUGGAUAUACCCACAGGUUGCCCGAGUUCCCAGACUCACUUCCCCGUUGUUUGCUAUUCUUCCCUGGACUCCACGGCUGGCGGCCGUUCCCUUCCUCCGUGUCUCCGUGGCACCCAAGCCUACCUGUCCGCUCCCCGCCGCACUCCUCCGUUGUUCCUGGACCCAUCACGAAAACGAGACCCCGGACAUACACAGUUUCCCCUCCAAGACUUCAUUCAUCAACCACAAUGAACUAUUGUUGCAGUUACUGUCGUUUUUCCCCGGACCAGAUCAUCCUGAUUCUCUCUCUAUAUUGUGUGGUCUAUUAAAUCAUUUAUACUGAUACUACCUCUCCUGUUUUGUGUUCUGCAUGUGGG